rnacentral:rRNA from 1 species
GACAGAGGGUGCAAACGUUGUUCGGAAUUACUGGGCGUAAAGCGCAUGUAGGCGGCCACGCAGGUCGGAUGUGAAAUCCCUCGGCUCAACCAAGGAAGUGCAUUCGAAACCGCAUGGCUGGAGUCCCGGAGAGGGUGGCGGAAUUCUCGGUGUAGAGGUGAAAUUCGUAGAUAUCGAGAGGAACACCGGCGGCGAAAGCGGCCACCUGGACGAGGACUGACGCUGGGAUGCGAAAGCGUGGGGAGCAAACAGG